UACGUAGGGGGCUAGCGUUGUCCGGAUUUAUUGGGCGUAAAGAGCGUGUAGGCGGCCAGGUAGGUCUGGUGUGAAAACUCGAGGCUUAACCUCGAGAUGUCAUCGGAAACCAUCUGGCUAGAGUCCGGAAGAGGAGAGUGGAAUUCCUGGUAUAGCGGUGAAAUGCGCAGAUAUCAGGAAGAACACCAAUGGCGAAAGCAGCUCUCUGGGACGGUACUGACGCUGAGACGCGAAAGCGUGGGGAGCGAACAGG
rnacentral:rRNA from 1 species